rnacentral:rRNA from 1 species
UACGGAGGGGGCUAGCGUUGUUCGGAAUUACUGGGCGUAAAGCGCACGUAGGCGGCUUUGUAAGUCAGAGGUGAAAGCCUGGAGCUCAACUCCAGAACUGCCUUUGAGACUGCAUCGCUUGAACACGGGAGAGGUGAGUGGAAUUCCGAGUGUAGAGGUGAAAUUCGUAGAUAUUCGGAAGAACACCAGUGGCGAAGGCGGCUCACUGGACCGUUGUUGACGCUGAGGUGCGAAAGCGUGGGGAGCAAACAGG